CUGAGCGGUAGAGAUUCUUCGGGAUCUUGAGAGCGGCGUACGGGUGCGUAACACGUGUGCAACCUGGCUCUAUCAGGGGGAUAGCCUUUCGAAAGGAAGAUUAAUACCCCAUAAUAUAAUGAAUGGCAUCAUUUGUUAUUGAAAACUGAGGUGGAUGGAGAUGGGCACGCGCAAGAUUAGAUAGUUGGUGAGGUAACGGCUCACCAAGUCGAUGAUCUUUAGGGGGCCUGAGAGGGUGAUCCCCCACACUGGUACUGAGACACGGACCAGACUCCUACGGGAGGCAGCAGUGAGGAAUAUUGGACAAUGGGUUAGCGCCUGAUCCAGCCAUCCCGCGUGAAGGACGACGGUUCUAUGGAUUGUAAACUUCUUUUGUACAGGGAUAAACCUACUCUCGUGAGAGUAGCUGAAGGUACUGUACGAAUAAGCACCGGCUAACUCCGUGCCAGCAGCCGCGGUAAUACGGAGGGUGCAAGCGUUAUCCGGAUUUAUUGGGUUUAAAGGGUCCGUAGGCGGGCUUGUAAGUCAGUGGUGAAAUCUCAUAGCUUAACUAUGAAACUGCCAUUGAAACUGCAGGUCUUGAGUUAGGUAGAAGUGGCUGGAAUAAGUAGUGUAGCGGUGAAAUGCAUAGAUAUUACUUAGAACACCAAUUGCGAAGGCAGGUCACUAUGUCUAUACUGACGCUGAUGGACGAAAGCGUGGGUAGCGAACAGGAUUAGAUACCCUGGUAGUCCACGCCGUAAACGAUGCUAACUCGUUUUUGGGUUUUCGGAUUCAGAGACUAAGCGAAAGUGAUAAGUUAGCCACCUGGGGNAGUACGUUCGCAAGAAUGAAACUCAAAGGAAUUGACGGGGGCCCGCACAAGCGGUGGAUUAUGUGGUUUAAUUCGAUGAUACGCGAGGAACCUUACCAAGACUUAAAUGGGAAUUGACAGCUUUAGAAAUAGAGUUUUCUUCGGACAAUUUUCAAGGUGCUGCAUGGUUGUCGUCAGCUCGUGCCGUGAGGUGUUAGGUUAAGUCCUGCAACGAGCGCAACCCCUGUCACUAGUUGCUAACAUUCAGUUGAGGACUCUAGUGAGACUGCCUACGCAAGUAGAGAGGAAGGUGGGGAUGACGUCAAAUCAUCACGGCCCUUACGUCUUGGGCCACACACGUAAUACAAUGGCCGGUACAGAGGGCAGCUACCAGGUGACUGGAUGCAAAUCUCGAAAGCCGGUCUCAGUUCGGAUUGGAGUCUGCAACUCGACUCUAUGAAGCUGGAAUCGCUAGUAAUCGCGCAUCAGCCAUGGCGCGGUGAAUACGUUCCCGGGCCUUGUACACACCGCCCGUCAAGCCAUGGAAGUCUGGGGUACCUGAAGUCGGUGACCGUAACAG
rnacentral:rRNA from 1 species